rnacentral:rRNA from 1 species
AUUGAACGCUAGCGGGAGGCCUAACACAUGCAAGUCGAGCGAGCGGCGGACGGGUGAGGAAUGUCAAGGAACCUGCCAGAUGGAGGUAGAUAAGUACUGGCAACGCUAAUUAAUACUGCAUACCAUGCGAUGUACACAGAUGGGCUUAGCUAGUAGGUGGGGUAACGGCUCACCUGGGGGACGAUCCCUAGCUGGUCUGCGAGGACGACCAGCCCCACUGGAACUGAGACACGGUCCAGACUCCUACGGGAGGCAGCAGUGGGGAAUAUUGCACAAUGGGCGCAAGCCUGAUGCAGCCAUGCCGCGUGUGUGAAGAAGGCCUUCGGGUUGUAAAGCACUUUCAGCAGGAAAGCGUUACCCGCAGAAGAAGCACCGGCUAACUCCGUGCCAGCAGCCGCGGUAAUUC